AUCAUCUACUUUCAUAGCAUCAUCACCACCAGAUGCAUCUGCUGCAGCUACAUUAGAAGCAUCUUCCUCCUCUUCCUCGACCACUUCCUCCUCUUCUUCUUCCUCAACUUCUUCCUCGACUUCUUCAUAUUCUACCUCUUCCUCCAUAUCCUCAGAUUCGGCAAGAUCCACCUGCUCUUCAGGCUCAGCAGGCUUCACAGGCUCAACAGGCUUUACAGGUUCAGCGGGCUUAGCAGCUGCUGCAUUUGCUUUCCUCCUUGGCGGCAUCUUAUGUAUCUGAAAGAAGCUCGCAAGGCAACGAAAUCGAUUCGGCGAGGGGGGCG
rnacentral:misc_RNA from 1 species